CCAAUAGCGUAUAUUAAAGUUGUUGCAGUUAAAAAGCUCGUAGUUGAACUUCGGGGUUCACCCAUUGGUCAGGCUUAAUUGUCUGCACUGGUGAGAUGAGUCUCUACCUUCUGAGGAACUUUCAUGCCAUUUAUUUGGUGUGGUUGGAAAUCAGGACUGUUACUUUGAAAAAAUUAGAGUGUUUAAAGCAGGCUAACGUCUGAAUACAUUAGCAUGGAAUAAUGAAAUAGGACGGACUGAUUCUAUUUCGUUGGUUUCUAGGAUCACCGUAAUGAUUAAUAGGGAUAGUUGGGGGCAUUAGUAUUCAAUUGGCAGAGGUGAAAUUCUUGGAUUUAUUGAAGACUAACUACUGCGAAAGCAUUUGCCAAGGAUGUUUUCAUUAAUCAAGAACGAAAGUUAGGGGAUCGAAGACGAUCAGAUACCGUCGUAGUCUUAACCAUAAACUAUGCCGACUAGGGAUCGGACGAAGUUAAUUUUAUAAUGACGCGUUCGGCACCUUACG
rnacentral:rRNA from 1 species